AGCUAGAAGGAAGGAACAGAAGGCGAAAAAGGGAUGUGUCGAUUGGGAGGGUAAACAGGGUAUAAAACUUGAAGCAGCACCUAAACUGAGCUAAAGACAGGGAUUAGAAAUCGGUGGAUUUCACCGAUUAGGUCAGUAAUGGUUUAGCCCCGUAAUAGCAAUACAUUGAACCAAACAAAGGAUUAGAGGCGUAAUAAGUGGGGCCC
rnacentral:lncRNA from 1 species